GCAAUGGGGGCAACCCUGACCGAGCAACGCCGCGUGAGUGAAGAAGGUUUUCGGAUCGUAAAGCUCUGUUGUAAGAGAAGAAACGAGUGUGAGAGUGGAAAGUUCACACUGUGACGGUAACUUACCAGAAAGGGACGGCUAACUACGUGCCAGCAGCCGCGGUAAUACGUAGGUCCCGAGCGUUAUCCGGAUUUAUUGGGCGUAAAGCGAGCGCAGGCGGUUAGAUAAGUCUGAAGUUAAAGGCUGUGGCUUAACCAUAGUACGCUUUGGAAACUGUUUAACUUGGGUGCAGAAGGGGAGAGUGGAAUUCCAUGUGUAGCGGUGAAAUGCGUAGAUAUAUGGAGGAACACCGGUGGCGAAAGCGGCUCUCUGGUCUGUAACUGACGCUGAGGCUCGAAAGCGUGGGGAGCAAACAGGAUUAGAUACCCCUGGGUAGUCCACGCCGUAAACGAUGAGUGCUAGGUGUUGGGGUCCUUUCCCGGGACUCAGUGCCGCAGCUAACGCAUUAAGCACUCCGCCUGGGGAGUACGACCGCAAGGUUGAAACUCAAAGGAAUUGACGGGGGCCCGC
rnacentral:rRNA from 1 species